GACGAACGCUGGCGGCGUGCUUAACACAUGCAAGUCGAGCGGAAAGGCCCUUCGGGGUACUCGAGCGGCGAACGGGUGAGUAACACGUGAGUAAUCUGCCCUUCACUCUGGGAUAGCCACCGGAAACGGUGAUUAAUACCGGAUACGACCAAUCCCUGCAUGGGGUGUUGGUGGAAACUUUUUUGGGUGGGGGAUGUGCUCGCGGCCUAUCAGCUUGUGGGGGGGGUAAUGGCCUACCAAGGCUUCGACGGGUAGCCGGCCUGAGAGGGUGACCGGCCACACUGGGACUGAGACACGGCCCAGACUCCUACGGGAGGCAGCAGUGGGGAAUAUUGGACAAUGGGCGGAAGCCUGAUCCAGCAACGCCGCGUGAGGGAUGACGGCCUUCGGGUUGUAAACCUCUUUCAGCACCGACGAAGCGCAAGUGACGGUAGGUGCAGAAGAAGGACCGGCCAACUACGUGCCAGCAGCCGCAGUAACAC
rnacentral:rRNA from 1 species